GAUGAACGAGGGAGGGGUGAUUAACACAUGCAAGUCGAACGGUGAAGGCGGAGCUUGCUCUGCUGGAUCAGUGGCGAACGGGUGAGUAACACGUGAGCAAUCUGCCCCUGACUCUGGGAUAAGCGCUGGAAACGGCGUCUAAUACUGGAUACGAGCUGCGAAGGCAUCUUCAGCAGCUGGAAAGAAUUUCGGUCAGGGAUGAGCUCGCGGCCUAUCAGCUUGUUGGUGAGGUAAUGGCUCACCAAGGCGUCGACGGGUAGCCGGCCUGAGAGGGUGACCGGCCACACUGGGACUGAGACACGGCCCAGACUCCUACGGGAGGCAGCAGUGGGGAAUAUUGCACAAUGGGCGAAAGCCUGAUGCAGCAACGCCGCGUGAGGGACGACGGCCUUCGGGUUGUAAACCUCUUUUAGCAGGGAAGAAGCGAAAGUGACGGUACCUGCAGAAAAAGCGCCGGCUAACUACGUG
rnacentral:rRNA from 1 species